rnacentral:tRNA from 1 species
UAUAUUUUAGUGUAUGAGGCACAAAAUUUUUUGAAGAUUUUGGAAAUAGUUUAAUUCUAUUAAAUA